rnacentral:rRNA from 1 species
ACAGCAGCAGCCGCGGUAAUACGUAGGGUGCAAGCGUUAAUCGGAAUUACUGGGCGUAAAGCGUGCGCAGGCGGUUAUAUAAGACAGAUGUGAAAUCCCCGGGCUCAACCUGGGAACUGCAUUUGUGACUGUAUAGCUAGAGUACGGCAGAGGGGGAUGGAAUUCCGCGUGUAGCAGUGAAAUGCGUAGAUAUGCGGAGGAACACCGAUGGCGAAGGCAAUCCCCUGGGCCUGUACUGACGCUUAUGCACGAAAGCGUGGGGAGCAAACAGGAUUAGAUACCCCAGUAGUCCCUGUCUCUUAUAC